rnacentral:rRNA from 1 species
CGGGAAUCAUUGGGCGUAAAGGGUGCGUAGGCGGCUUCUUAAGUUGUAGUGAAAUCGUAGGGCUCAACUCUAUCUAGCUACAAAAACUGGGAGGCUGGAGUGCGGAGAGGCUAGUGGAAUUCCUAGUGUAGCGGUAAAAUGCGUAGAUAUUAGGAGGAACACCGGGGCGAAGGCGACUAGCUGGGCCGUAACUGACGCUGAGGCACGAAAGCGUGGGGAGCAAAUGGAUUAGAUACCCUAGUAGUCCACGCCGUAAACGAUGAAUACUAAGUGUUGGAGAAAUUCGUGCUGCAGUUAACGCAAUAAGUAUUCCGCCUGGGGAGUAUGCACGCAAGUGUGAAACUCAAGGAAUUGACGGGGACCCGCACAAGCGGUGGAUUAUGUGGUUUAAUUCGAUGCAACGCGAGAACCUUACCAAGUCUUGACAUCCCUGGCAAAACUCUAGAGAUAGAGCGGAGGUUAUCCGGUGACAGGUGGUGCAUGGUUGUCGUCAGCUCGUGUCGUGAGAUGUUGGGUUAAGUCCCGAACGAGCGCAACCCUUGUCUUCAGUUACCAGCAUUCAGUUGGGGACUCUGGAGAGACUGCGGUGACAAACCGGAGGAAGGUGGGGAUGACGUCAAAUCAGCAUGCCCCUUAUGACUUGGGUACACACGUAAUACAAUGGCGCACACAAAGGGAAGCAAUACCGCGAGGUGGAGCAAAUCUAUAAAUUGCGUCUCAGUUCGGAUUAGAGUCUGCAACUCGACUCUAUGAAGUUGGAAUCGCAGUAAUCGUGGAUCAGCACGCCACGGUGAAUACGUUCUCGGGUCUUGCACACACCGCCCG